rnacentral:rRNA from 1 species
GGGGAAUUUUGGACAAUGGGCGCAAGCCUGAUCCAGCAAUGCCGCGCGCAGGAUGAAGGCCUUCGGGUUGUAAACUGCUUUUGUACGGAGCGAAAAGGUCUGCCCUAAUACGGUGGGCUCAUGACGGUACCGUAAGAAUAAGCACCGGCUAACUACGUGCCAGCAGCCGCGGUAAUACGUAGGGUGCGAGCGUUAAUCGGAAUUACUGGGCGUAAAGCGUGCGCAGGCGGUUAUAUAAGACAGAUGUGAAAUCCCCGGGCUCAACCUGGGACCUGCAUUUGUGACUGUAUAGCUAGAGUACGGUAGAGGGGGAUGGAAUUCCGCGUGUAGCAGUGAAAUGCGUAGAUAUGCGGAGGAACACCGAUGGAGAAGGCAAUCCCCUGGAGCUGUAAUGACGCUCAUGCACGAAAGCGUGGGGAGCAAACA